rnacentral:rRNA from 1 species
GUGCCAGCAGCCGCGGUAAUACGUAGGGGGCGAGCGUUGUCCGGAUUUAUUGGGCGUAAAGAGCUCGUAGGCGGUUCCGUGAGUCGGCUGUGAAAUCUCCACGCUCAACGUGGAGGGGUCAGUCGAUACUGCGGUGACUCGAGUCCGGUAGGGGAGUGUGGAAUUCCCGGUGUAGCGGUGAAAUGCGCAGAGAUCGGGAGGAACACCCGUAGCGAAGGCGGCACUCUGGGCCGGUACUGACGCUGAGGAGCGAAAGCGUGGGGAGCAAACAGGAUUAGAUACCCCAGUAGUCC